AUCUGGCCUCAAAUCAGGUAGGACUACCCGCUGAA
rnacentral:rRNA from 1 species